rnacentral:sRNA from 1 species
CCCGGUGCUAUAGGGCCGGUUCCGGGGGCGCGUGGCUGCAGGGGGGGCCCGCGUGGUCCCUCCUGAGGCGGCCCCCGGAUGAAGAGAUCUGGGAACCCGGGAGCCGAGGCAGACUUCUGCGUUAUGACCCGGCUGCUGGGCUACGUGGACCCCCUGGAUCCCAGCUUCGUGGCUGCCGUCAUCACCAUCGCCUUCAAUCCGCUCUACUGGAAUGUGCUUCACGCAGGCCAUGCUGAGCCAGCCCAGGAUGGAAAGCCUGGACACCCCUGCGGCCUACAGCCUGGGACUCGCGCUCCUGGGACUGGGCGUCGUGCUUGUGCUCUCCAGCUUCUUUGCACUGGGGUUCACUGGAACUUUCCUAGGUGAUUACUUCGGGAUCCUCAAGGAGGCAAGAGUGACCAUGUUCCCCUUCAACAUCCUGGACAACCCCAUGUACUGGGGAAGCACAGCCAACUACCUGGGCUGGGCUAUCAU